AAGAUUUUAAGUUAAUUUGAUAAACUAUUUGCCUUCAAAGCAAAAAAUAAAAAAGAUUUUUAAAUCUUA
rnacentral:tRNA from 1 species